AGAAAACUGAGGUUGAAUUCAUAGGUUAGCCAUUAUACACAGUACUGCAAUGAACAUGGGAGUGUAAACAUCUCUUUGACACACUGAUUUCAAAUCUUUCAGAUCCAUUGUUGAUGAAAAUAUAAUCGGCUUUUGGUCUGAGAUGUAGGCAAAGCAGAAUUAUAAGAAAAAUUAAAGAAAAUUAACUCACCCUCCAAAUAUUGCCACUGGCCAAGAAAUAAAGGAAUCUAGUUUGUUCCCAAGUUACCAUAUCUCAGAGGCAUAUAAUGCUGUCCAAUUCUCUUGAAAACAAAAAUAAUUCAAGCUCCAAUAAUAAAGAUUUUUCUGCUUUGUUCUUCUGUGUCCCUUGUGCUGAGAAAACUCAUCUAGCAUAUGGGCUUUGACUCUUGGGUUUGAAAAAGGCACCGAUCCCUGCUAAAUUCUGAACACUGACAGUCAUCAGCCUUGGGAGAAGCAAUAAUCACAACGAUCUGCUUUUUAAUGAGGCAAAGGACCAGAAAUUAAGACUAUUAAAGUCCCCUAGGCCCAGGAACUAUCGCAGAAGAUAUGGGAACAUGAGAUUGUGAGGGCUGAUUUUGAGGGUUGAUUAGUUUAGAGUUUUCUAUAAAUUAAACAUUAAAAUCAAAAGCACACCGAUGCAAGGCCAGUGUCUCGGCCCAUGUGUUGGAAUAACAGGGUUUUCUUGGAUCAUUGAUCUCCUCUUUAAUAGAAAGCUGUAAAAGGUUUUAAAAGGUUUAUCAAAAUCUUACCUUAUGGUAAAACUGAUUAAAAUUGUAUUUGUUUAUAAGGUUUUAUUUAAAUUAGCUUUAACAUUAAUAAUACAGCAUACAAGGUAAAAUUUGGUUUUCUCUUUUGAAUAAAAUUUUUAUGUAAGGAAUAAUAAGAUUUUUGUUUACCUUUUGAGUCAACUGCAGGGGAAAAAAAAGGGAGUGGGGGGAGACAGAUUUAGUUGGCCUCAAGCUGUCAUAAGUAUCAGGUCUUAUUGUUUGGGAAACUGAGUGUCUUCUCUAUCAAAAGGUAAAUGUUUUUGUGCUAUCAUUUUGGCUAAACAAAUGACUAUUUUAUAAUAACCGUGAUCCUAUUUUGUGAUAUAUCAAAUGUCUUAAACAUUUGAUAGUUGACAGACUUUCCAACAGCAAAAUUUCAGAGUCUAAAUUCAGCCUUUUUGACCUCAAACUAACUCUUUGGAUAUUAGGUUCCCUCAAUUCCAAGAAAGACAUAUUAGGCUUACUAGGCUUUUGUUAUGUUAGAAUUAUGCAGAAAGCAUUGUGAAAUCUGAGGUGGUAUUUAACUUCCUUUCGGCUUAUUUAUAUAGAUGUGUUGUUAAUAUGCAUUCCAGUAUUAUAUGAGAUGCCUAAAAUUCUGAUAUGUCUUAAUAUAUGUUGUCUGUCAUAAUUAUGAUUACUACGUUAAAUUAUUGUAUGCCACAGAAAUAACCAACCGUCCUGGUCAACUGUGUCUUUAUCUAUGGCUGACUUAAGCCUUUUGUCAUCUACAAUCGUUGUUUUGCUUUGAUCCUUCUCAAAAAGUGACUUGUAAUCAGCUAUGGUCCAGGGCUUGCUUCUUUGGAGGAUUUCAUGAAAAGGAUUCUUGAAUGCAGGUUUCUGAUAACUUUGGAGAUUGUGCCACUGGAAUAGAGAGAAAACUUCCAGUGAACUAAGUGGAAGGCUGAUGUGUUCAUAAACAUAGCUAAACCAAUAUCAAGCAGAGCAAGAGUUGAUUGCAUGAACUGAACUAAUGGAGGACUAAAAUAAUAUUUAUGGCUUUUUUUUGAAAUAUUGCUGAUUCUUUUUGUUUUGUUUUUCAGAAUAAGUUUUGAAUAAUGUCUUUCUUUUGAGCUAUUUAUAGGCUUUAAAUAUAUUUUUUAGUAUAGUGAGUACAUCAUACUUCUGUAAACACACUUUUGAAGCAUAUUUCUCUCUGUCUAAUUUAUCCAGAAUUUGUAAACUACUUGUGAAUAUUUUUAAUUAAUGGCAAUGUGGUUGCUUGCAUACAUUUAAUAACAACAUGUUUUCUUUUAUAAUUGGCCAUAAUUGGAGGAACUUGUUAUUUUCUCAGGCCUUUGACUAAAAUGGCAUUGUGAGAGGUUCCAGCAAAGCCAAUUUAGGAGAGCGUAUAUGGACAGUGAUUCUUGCUGCACAUUGUGUGGGUAAUCAGGCCGAGUAUACGAGACUGACACUUAUUUUGCAGAUAGAUUGGUUCUGUUGUGAUUUGUCUUUGGUGGAAGUGGGGGACUGGAGAAAUAAAUAUUGUGUUUCUGAAGAAAACUAUAGUAUUACAUUAAUCUUUGAUUCCUGAGUGGCCAUGAGGUCACCCAUGGAUGGGAGUUGCUCAUGAAACCCCUCCUCAGCAUGAAGCAGCCAGAAAGAUCAACAACUGGAUUCCCCAUGAUUGAAGAAUUGAUAAAUAAAAAAGGGGACUGAAACCG